GACGAACGCUGGCGGCGUGCCUAAUACAUGCAAGUAGAACGCACAGUUUAUACCGUAGCUUGCUACACCAUAGACUGUGAGUUGCGAACGGGUGAGUAACGCGUAGGUAACCUGCCUGGUAGCGGGGGAUAACUAUUGGAAACGAUAGCUAAUACCGCAUAAUAUUAAUUAUUGCAUGAUAAUUAAUUGAAAGGUGCAAUUGCACCACUACCAGAUGGACCUGCGUUGUAUUAGCUAGUAGGUGAGGUAACGGCUCACCUAGGCGACGAUACAUAGCCGACCUUGGAGGGUGAUCGGCCACACUGGGACUGAGACACGGCCCAGACUCCUACGGGAGGCAGCAGUAGGGAAUCUUCGGCAAUGGACGAAAGUCUGACCGAGCAACGCCGCGGGAGUGAAGAAGGGUUUCGGAUCGUAAAGCUCUGUUGUAAGAGAAGAACGGGUGUGAGAGUGGAAAGUUCACACUGUGACGGUAUCUUACCAGAAAGGGACGGCUAACUACGUG
rnacentral:rRNA from 1 species